CCCAAAGCGGUGUAGUGGUAACACGCCAAGGUGACUGCUAAGUUCCUCGCUGAGGGCUUAGUCCCUUCGGGGACGGAGGAGUCCCAGGUUCGAUUCCUGGCUUUGGGG